CGCAUCCUUCCAAACGAGACAGCCACUGCUGCGAAAGGGAAAGUGCAGAAUUAGAUUCUUAUAUAUUCUAAUCUAAACGAAUGUGUAGAUAGGGUGCAGAAAGUAGUGCUGGUAACCGGUGCAAACAGUGGCAUUGCCCUUGCCCUGUGCGAGCAUCUACUGACCAAGGAUGCCCAGCUGCAGCCCUGUCUGGCCUGUAGGAACAUGCAGAGAGCCUGACAGGCUCUUCUAGUGUCUCAUCCUCAAGCUCAAAAUUCUCUGCUACACUUAAAUGUUGGCAAAAUGCACUCUGUGAUCAGGGCUGCUGAGGAGUUCAAGCUGAAGUGGAUAUUGAUGAAAACACGUCAGAGGCCCUCUAUGUAAAGUUAUUAUUAGAACAUGAAGAUACAGUGCGGAAGAAACUGCAAGAAGAGGAUCCAGUAAAAAAAAAAUAAUUUACAUACUGGAGACAAAUACAGCACAUCUCUCACACAUUCCAUCCCCCACAUCAAGCACUGUUUUAGAUAUU